GACGUAGGGCGCGAGCGUUGUCCGGAUUUAUUGGGCGUAAAGAGCUCGUAGGCGGCUUGUUGCGUCGACUGUGAAAACCCGCGGCUUAACUGCGGGCUUGCAGUUGAUACGGGCAGGCUAGAGUUCGGUAGGGGAGACUGGAAUUCCCGGUGUAGCGGUGAAAUGCGCAGAUAUCGGGAAGAACACCCGUGGCGAAGGCGGCUCUCUGGGACGGUACUGACGCUGAGACGCGAAAGCGUGGGGAGCAAACGGG
rnacentral:rRNA from 1 species